UUUACAUUUUACACUAAAAGAGUCGUUAGAUUCGAUGUACUUAAAAUUAUAGCGUAACUAGAGAUGCAUAUAGUUGAAACUACCACUACAACAGAAUUAGGUUAUAGCGACACAUAUUUGGAACAUUUUUGAGUAAGUGUCUCAUUUAUGCUAAAACUUAAAAACACAUCUACUAAUGCCUAAAUAUAAAGCCCAAUCCAAUAAAAAAUAAAAGAUUACUCUACUCAACCCAAAACACCCAGUCCAUUUGGCCCGAUUACAAACAGAAAAAAAAAAAAAAGAAAAAUCAAUUACCAUCUUUUCUUCUCUCUUCACUCAAUCCACUGAAAUUCUAGAUGAAGAGCCUUUACUGUCGUCCUCCUCCGCCACCGCAGCCAACGAGAUAGAGUUUCGGCGAUUGCUAAAUGCUUAAAUAAGUGUUGGUAAAUUAGUAGCACUCUUUUAGGUUAUAGCGACACUCUUUAACUAUCACUAUAUACCUAGUGACCCCACAUAUAGCAACAAUUUUUAAAAGUGUUGGUAAUUUUAGCUAGCAGCAUUUUUUUGACAUGUACCUAUAUUUAAAAGUGUCCCUAUAGACCGUUUUUGUUGUAGUGUAUGUUCAACAAAACUGCUGUACAGUUCUAAACAAAACUGCUGUACAGUUGUACUUAAAAUUAUAACCUACAUGUAAUUAUAACUGCUGUACAGUUGUAACUACGUUCAACAAACAGCUCCUUGUGGAGUACCUAGCUAGUCCCUCAAAAUCUAUAGAAUACUAUUUUUUGA
rnacentral:lncRNA from 1 species